rnacentral:rRNA from 1 species
AGGUCACUGCUAUCGGUGUUCGAUUAAGCCAUGCGAGUCGUGAGGGGUAAAGCCCUCGGCGGAGUGCUCAGUAACACGUGGACAACCUACCCAAGAGUCAGGGAUAACCCCGGGAAACUGGGGAUAAUACCUGAUAGGCCAUGACAUCUGGAAUCGAGUUGUGGUUUAAACGUAAGGCUCUUGGAUGGGUCUGCGGCGGAUUAGGUUGUUGCCGGUGUAACGUACCAGCAAGCCUGUAAUCCGUACGGGUUGUGGGAGCAAGAGCCCGGAGAUGGAUUCUGAGACACGAAUCCAGGCCCUACGGGGCGCAGCAGGCGCGAAAACUCUACAAUGCAGGCAACUGCGAUGGGGGAACAUCGAGUGGCAUCCACCAUGGAUGUCUGUCCAAUCGUCUAAAAAACGAUUGUCAGCAAGGGCCGGGCAAGACCGGUGCCAGCCGCCGCGGUAAUACCGGCGGCUCGAGUGGUGGCCGAUAUUAUUGAGUCUAAAGGGUCCGUAGCCGGCUUUGCAAGUCCUAUGGGAAAUCCAGCGGCUUAACCGUUGGGCUUUCAUGGGAUACUACAUUGCUUGGGACUGGGAGAGGUAGGAGGUACUCAGGGGGUAGGGGUGAAAUCCUGUAAUCCUUUGGGGACCACCGGUGGCGAAGGCGUCCUACCAGAACAGGUCCGACGGUGAGGGACGAAAGCUAGGGGCACGAACCGGAUUAGAUACCCGGGUAGUCCUAGCCGUAAACGAUGCUCGCUAGGUGUCACGGCAGUCGUGAAUUGUCGUGGUGCCGUAGGGAAGCCGUGAAGCGAGCCACUUGGGAAGUACGACCGCAAGGUUGAAACUUAA